CGACCCUGCGCGGGAGAGUCCUCGAGGUCCUGUCACCUGCGAGGCGCCGAAGGGGCAACAUCCCCGGAACCUCUCAGGCGCCCGGACUGCGCAGGCGAG
rnacentral:ncRNA from 2 species